AGAAUCGGUCUCCGCACCGUGGAUCUCUGCCCAGCGGUGACGAGAAUACAAGACCCGUGGCUGCCAACGGCAACAACAGACCCAACUCACAAGAUCCAUCAAGUGAUGUGAGUUCCCACUCUAGAUCUGGAAGUGGAUACAUGUGCGACAGUGAAAGCGAGGACGAUAGGGUAUGUACAAAUUAAAAUGUCUCUUGUAUUUUAACCCCUUU